AGGGUUUGAUCCUGGCUCAGGAUGAACGCUGACAGAAUGCUUAACACAUGCAAGUCGACUGGAAUUCACCUUCGGGUGAUAGUACGGUGGCGGACGGGUGAGUAACGCGUAAAGAACUUGCCCUCUAGACUGGGACAACUGCUGGAAACGGCAGCUAAUACCGGAUAUUAUGAGAACCUCGCAUGAGGAACUUAUGAAAGGCUACAUGCGCUAGAGGAGAGCUUUGCGUGCCAUUAGGUAGUUGGUGGGGUAAUGGCCCACCAAGCCGACGAUGGCUAGCCGGCCUGAGAGGGUGAUCGGCCACAAGGGGACUGAGACACGGCCCUUACUCCUACGGGAGGCAGCAGUGGGGAAUAUUGGACAAUGGACCAAAAGUCUGAUCCAGCAAUUCUGUGUGCACGAUGAAGGUUUUCGGAUCGUAAAGUGCUUUCAGUAGGGAAGAAAAAAAUGACGGUACCUACAGAAGAAGCGACGGCUAAAUACGUGCCAGCAGCCGCGGUAAUACGUAUGUCGCAAGCGUUAUCCGGAAUUAUUGGGCGUAAAGCGCGUCUAGGCGGCCUUUUAAGUCUGAUGUUAAAAUGCGGGGCUCAACUCCGUAUUGCGUUGGAAACUGAAAGGCUAGAGUAUCAGAGAGGUGGGCGGAACUACAAGUGUAGAGGUGAAAUUCGUAGAUAUUUGUAGGAAUGCCGAUUGGGAAGCCAGCUCACUGGAUGAAUACUGACGCUAAAGCGCGAAAGCGUGGGGAGCAAACGGGAUUAGAUACCCCGGUAG
rnacentral:rRNA from 1 species